GGAUGAAUAGCUCCAAUGGUAGAGCACCGGUUUGAAGCGCCGGCUGUACGGGUUCGAAUCCUGUUUCAUCCA
rnacentral:tRNA from 1 species